rnacentral:lncRNA from 1 species
UAAGAUAUGGCAAGAAACAAUGUACUAUUUUGUGAGCAAAUUAAAAUUUAUAUGAGUAAACUUAGAUCUAAGUCUAACAUUGUCCAAAAAGAGUAAUUUUACAAGAACUAUAUUUGCUUAAAAUAGGGACGGACUUAAAUAGUGUCUUAAAAAGAAUAUUUGCAUAAUCAGCCCAUAUAUAUGUAAAAAAAACAUCGAUCGGGCCAUGUACGCUUUUAACUUCAGUUUCGAUUAGAUCCACAUUUUCAUGCAGAAGAAUCCAUCUAAAUAGCCGCCAACU